rnacentral:tRNA from 1 species
CCGCCAUUAGCUCAGUCCGGUUAGAGCGACCGUCUUAUACGCGGUGUCAGUCCAAGGUUCAAAUCCUUUAUGGCGGA